GACGAACGCUGGCGGCAUGCCUAACACAUGCAAGUCGAACGAGACCUUCGGGUCUAGUGGCGCAUGGGUGCGUAACGCGUGGGAACUUGCCCUUAGGUUCGGAACAACUCCCCGAAAGGGGUGCUAAUACCGGAUAAUGUCAUCGGACCAAAGAUUUAUCGCCUUUGGAUGGGCCCGCGUUGGAUUAGCUAGUUGGUAGGGUAAAAGCCUACCAAGGCGACGAUCCAUAGCUGGUCUGAGAGGAUGAUCAGCCACACUGGAACUGAGACACGGCCCAGACUCCUACGGGAGGCAGCAGUGGGGAAUAUUGGACAAUGGGCGAAAGCCUGAUCCAGCAAUGCCGCGUGAGUGAUGAAGGCCUUAGGGUUGUAAAGCUCUUUUACCCGGGAUGAUAAUGACGGUACCGGGAGAAUAAGCACCGGCUAACUCCGUG
rnacentral:rRNA from 1 species